rnacentral:lncRNA from 1 species
AGGAGACUAAAGAUGGCUUCUCACCUGGAUAUUCUUGAAGUGACAGGAAUAAUUCAUCAAGAUUUGCACUUUUACAAAACACUCUAUGAAGACAAGAGUGGAAGUUUCUAAAGCAAAGAGGAUUUCAUUAGGCUGCUUAAUACAAACCCCUGCAUUCAGUGGUGUGACUAUCAAAAAUAGCCAAUCUUCCAGAGAGCUGGAUGCCUAUAUACCCCAAAAUACAAGUCCCAGGACAUGA